CCUACGGGUGGCAGCAGUGAGGAAUAUUGGUCAAUGGGCGGGAGCCUGAACCAGCCAAGUCGCGUGAGGGAUGACGGUCCUGUGGGUUGUAAACCUCUUUUGCCAGGGAACAAAGUCCGCCACGUGUACCCCUUUGCAUGUACCUUAUGAAUAAGCAUCGGCUAACUCCGUGCCAGCAGCCGCGGUAAUACGGAGGAUCCGAGCGUUAUCCGGUUUUAUUGGGUUUAAAGGGUGCGCAGGCGGCGUGUCAAGUCAGCGGUAAAAUUUCGGGGCUCAACCCAGGACGGCAGUUGAUACUGGCGUGCUAGAGUGGGAGAGAAGUAGGCGGAAUUCGUGGUGUAGCGGUGAAAUGCUUAGAUAUCACGAAGAACUCCGAUUGCGAAGGCAGCAUACCGGACUGAAACUGACGCUGAGGCACGAAAGCGUGGGUAUCGAACAGGAUUAGAUACCCUAGUAGUC
rnacentral:rRNA from 1 species